rnacentral:piRNA from 1 species
UGAUGUCCUUGUAGGUGUAGAUGACUAA